rnacentral:rRNA from 1 species
GCGGCGCAGUGUAGGUCUAACCGAAGCUCGCCGCUGUGCGCCCAGUCGCCGAUUCAAUCCUGCCGCGGUGCUCUUCACUGAGUGUCGAGGUAGGCCGACACGUUUACUUUGAACAAAUUAGAGUGCUCAAAGCAGGCUGAA